rnacentral:rRNA from 1 species
AGACAAUAGAUACCCGGGUAGUCCUGGCCCUAAACGAUGUCCACUAGAUUGCGGCGUCUUUGACGGCGUCGCGGUCGAAAGCAAAAAAAGUGUUAAGUGGACCGCCUGGGAAGUACGGUCGCAAGGCUAAAACUCAAAGGAAUUGACGGGGGCUCACACAAGCGGUGGAGCAUGUGGUUCAAUUCGAAGCAACGCGCAGAACCUUACCUGGGUUUGACAUGCCAGGAUUAUCCCGAUGAAAGUCGGGUAGGCCCCGCAAGGGGUACAACUGGUACAGGUGCUGCAUGGCUGUCGUCAGCUCGUGUCGUGAGAUGUCGGGUUAAGUCCCUUAACGAGCGAAACCUUUACCCUUAGUUACCAGCGGGUUAUGCCGGGGACUCUAAGGGGACCGCCGGUGUCAAACCGGAGGAAGGUGGAGAUGACGUCAAGUCCUCAUGGCCUUUAUGCCCAGGGCCACACACGUGCUACAAUGGCGUUCAUAAAGCGACCCUAAAGCGCGAGCUCAUGGAAAUCGCAAAAACUAACGCCCAGUUCAGAUCGGAGGCUGCAACUCGCCU